rnacentral:rRNA from 1 species
AAGUAGAACGCUGAAGAGAGGAGCUUGCUCUUCUUGGAUGAGUUGCGAACGGGUGAGUAACGCGUAGGUAACCUGCCUUGUAGCGGGGGAUAACUAUUGGAAACGAUAGCUAAUACCGCAUAACAAUGGAUGACCCAUGUCAUUUAUUUGAAAGGGGCAAAUGCUCCACUACAAGAUGGACCUGCGUUGUAUUAGCUAGUAGGUGAGGUAACGGCUCACCUAGGCGACGAUACAUAGCCGACCUGAGAGGGUGAUCGGCCACACUGGGACUGAGACACGGCCCAGACUCCUACGGGAGGCAGCAGUAGGGAAUCUUCGGCAAUGGGGGCAACCCUGACCGAGCAACGCCGCGUGAGUGAAGAAGGUUUUCGGAUCGUAAAGCUCUGUUGUAAGUCAAGAACGAGUGUGAGAGUGGAAAGUUCACACUGUGACGGUAGCUUACCAGAAAGGGACGGCUAACUACGUGCCAGCAGCCGCGGUAAUACGUAGGUCCCGAGCGUUGUCCGGAUUUAUUGGGCGUAAAGCGAGCGCAGGCGGUUUGAUAAGUCUGAAGUUAAAGGCUGUGGCUCAACCAUAGUUCGCUUUGGAAACUGUCAAACUUGAGUGCAGAAGGGGAGAGUGGAAUUCCAUGUGUAGCGGUGAAA